GGUAAGAUGGCUGAGUGAUUAAGCGGUGGAUUGUAGUCCCAUCAACAGAGGUUCAAGUCCUCUUUUUACCA
rnacentral:tRNA from 1 species